GAUGAACGCUAGCGGCAGGCCUAACACAUGCAAGUCGAGGGGGGAGCUUUCGGGCUUCGACCGGCGUACGGGUGCGUAACGCGUAUACAAUCUGCCUUUCACAUAGGGAUAGCCCGAAGAAAUUUGGAUUAAUACCUAAUGGUAUAUAGAGGUGGCAUCACCUUUAUAUUAAAGCUGAGGCGGUGAAAGAUGAGUAUGCGUUCUAUUAGCUAGUUGGAGAGGUAACGGCUCCCCAAGGCGACGAUAGAUAGGGGUUCUGAGAGGGAUAUCCCCCACACUGGUACUGAGAUACGGACCAGACUCCUACGGGAGGCAGCAGUGAGGAAUAUUGGACAAUGGUCGGAAGACUGAUCCAGCCAUGCCGCGUGCAGGAAGACGGCCUUAUGGGUUGUAAACUGCUUUUGCAGGGGAAGAAUAAGGACUACGCGUAGUUUGAUGACGGUACUCUGCGAAUAAGCAUCGGCUAACUCCGU
rnacentral:rRNA from 1 species